rnacentral:rRNA from 1 species
CCUACGGGGGGCAGCAGUGAGGAAUAUUGGUCAAUGGCCGGAAGCCUGAACCAGCCAAGUAGCGUGAAGGAUGACUGCCCUAUGGGUUGUAAACCGCUUUUAUGCGGGGAUAAAGCUGUCUACGUGUAGAUGUUUGCAUGUACCGUAUGAAUAAGGACCGGCUAAUUCCGUGCCAGCAGCCGCGGUAAUACGGAAGGUCCGGGCGUUAUCCGGAUUUAUUGGGUUUAAAGGGAGCGUAGGCCGGAUGUUAAGCGUGCCGUGAAAUUUUGGGGCUCAACCCUGGGCGUGCAGCGCGAACUGGAGAGCUUGAGUCCGCGGAAGGCAGGCGGAAUUCGUGGUGUAGCGGUGAAAUGCUUAGAUAUGACGAAGAACCCCGAUUGCGAAGGCAGCUUGCUGCAGCGGUACUGACGCUGAUGCUCGAAAGCGCGGGUAUCGAACAGGAUUAGAUACCCGAGUAGUC